rnacentral:rRNA from 1 species
GAUCCUGGCUCAGAUUGAACGCUGGCGGCAGGCCUAACACAUGCAAGUCGAACGGUAACAGGAAACAGCUUGCUGUUUCGCUGACGAGUGGCGGACGGGUGAGUAAUGUCUGGGAAACUGCCUGAUGGAGGGGGAUAACUACUGGAAACGGUAGCUAAUACCGCAUAACGUCGCAAGACCAAAGAGGGGGGACCUUCGGGCCGUCUUGCCAUCGGAUGUGCCCACGAUGGGAUUAGCUAGUAGGUGGGGUAACGGG